rnacentral:misc_RNA from 1 species
UUUCCGUAGGUGAACCUGCGGAAGGAUCAUUAUAAAUGAAAAACGAAUAACUUCAGGGACGAAGGGAACCUGCACGGUGACCUCCCCUGUCGGGCCACCCAAUACCUUCAAAAUGCCGCCGUCCUAGCGGUGGCAGACGAAAAAAAAACAAGAAAAACAAAAUAGAAACAGGCACGGUGGCCCGUUCACCUUCACACAACCCUCCGAGUACCGCUUCCAUGUUGCUUCCCCGCAAAUCCACCUCUUUGGUGAGCGCGGGGGAGGUCCGCAUCAAAUUCACCUUAAUGUCACAGCAGUCAGACAGCCAUUCAUGGAAACAAUAAAACUUUCAACAACGGAUCUCUUGGUUCCC